rnacentral:misc_RNA from 1 species
GCUUGUUCCGAGAGUGUCUUUGCUAGAGGAUACCAUAACUUCAUUUUCCUGCAAAAUUCUUUAUCACUCCAACAUCUUUCAUCCACAUCUUUCUCAGAGAGGAUAUUCUCUCUCCACACAGCAGCUGUCAAGGAGGAAGUGAAGACAAUCUUCUCAACAGUAUCUGUCUGAGCACAAGCCUCCACAACAUUAAUUGUCCCUCUAACUUCCAAAUCCACCAUUUUUUCAUCAAACACAUGGGGGGUGUCCAUACAGCAGAACAAACCAGAGCAUCCUUUCAAAGCUACAAGAAUGCUCUGGUAAUCCAUGAUAUCCACAGGAAAAA